GAUGAACGCUGGCGGCGUGCCUAAUACAUGCCAGUCGAGCGAACAGACGAGGAGCUUGCUCCUCUGACGUUAGCGGCGGACGGGUGAGUAACACGUGGAUAACCUACCUAUAAGACUGGGAUAACUUCGGGAAACCGGAGCUAAUACCGGAUAAUAUAUUGAACCGCAUGGUUCAAUAGUGAAAGACGGUUUUGCUUUCACUUAUAGAUGGAUCCGCGCCGCAUUAGCUAGUUGGUAAGGUAACGGCUUACCAAGGCAACGAUGCGUAGCCGACCUGAGAGGGUGAUCGGCCACACUGGAACUGAGACACGGUCCAGACUCCUACGGGAGGCAGCAGUAGGGAAUCUUCCGCAAUGGGCGAAAGCCUGACGGAGCAACGCCGCGUGAGUGAUGAAGGUCUUCGGAUCGUAAAACUCUGUUAUUAGGGAAGAACAAAUGUGUAAGUAACUAUGCACGUCUUGACGGUACCUAAUCAGAAAGCCACGGCUAACUACGUG
rnacentral:rRNA from 1 species